GUUCAGCUGGGAGGAUCAGGUCAUCAGACGCAAUAGAUAUAUUAGACAUAAUGCAGUGAGUAAAGUUGACAAAUCUACAUGUUUUCAUGGGUGGUUCUAGAUGGGGGCCAAAAGGGUGCCAGUACCCCUGUAGGACCGGUCCUGGCCCCUUUUAUGCCCCCCUGUUCUGAAAACAUUUAUUGCAAAAUUUAAAAAAUAAGUCAGGUUUUCUUGAAAUAAGUGUAACCUUGAUUUGGGCAGAUGGUUCCCUGUGUUUGUUUGGGCCUCCUCGCACACCUGCGGCUCGUUGGGUCAUCAUCAGAUGAAUAUAUGAACAGGGGGCUGUUACUAUCUCAACGCCAGAGUGUUUGCCAGUAUUGGGAAGCCUUCCUGAUCCACUGGAUAAGCCUACCUUCUACCCCCCUGGAAGGAUAAACUGAGUCACAAUUGAGCAAGGGGAAAACUCCACAUAAUCAAGUCUUUUUCAGGAAAAUCCGGUGACAGUCCGCUCCUUUGCUCCUCUGGACCCAACGUUAGUCUGCCUGGACGCCCUCCCACGAGUUCUUUCAUCUCUGGAUAAGACCCCACAAACUGGAUCCAAAGAUUAACCAAGAGUUCCCCAAACGUGAGUGCCUCUCCUGCAAAUUACAAGCCUCAGUCAUUUUUUCUACGGUCCCUGAACUGAUCAUUGUGAUCUCCCCUUCAGAGUUUCCGGUUCCGGUUCACCAGGCCGCUGAGGUCCAACAAUGUUACCCAGCUGUAUAUCUCUCAGUCUGUGUUUUUUUGUAAACCACAAUA